AUGCCAGGAUCACAAGCCGACGAGAUUGACUGGGAGAAUUUAUCGAACAAGGAGCUUCAUGAUAAGUUUCAGCAAAUGAUGACUGAACAGGUGCAAGAUGUGCUGAACAAUUUUGAAGAGGCCAUGGAGAAGAUCACUGGCCUUGAGAAGACAUUCGAAACAAAGCUCGAUAACAAGUUUAACGAAUUGCUCGCGUGUCUUCCACCACCACCACCCGCUUCACCUAACGCACCUCUCCAACAACAACAACAACGACUACCUCCACAUCGCGAAACAGACCUUCGCCGAGCGAGUCGUGUUCCUCUUGCGUUUGCCCAAACUGUUGGUGCUGCUAUUGAUACUUCUGUGGCUCCUGCUGCUGAUGCGGAGGAGCAUGAUUAUGUGGGAGAUUAUGAGGAUGAGGUUGAUCAAAAUCAGCACUACGUGCAGCCACCUGCACCACCACCAGCAGGUCGACCUCGGGUAUAUAUUCGUAAUGGUAGGCCUGCACCACCACCUCAGGUACGAGAUGAUGUCCAUAUUCCUAAACUGAAAUUGAAUAUUCCACCAUUUGAGGGUAGAUAUGUUCCUGAUAUAUAUCUUACUUGGGAGUUAGAAACUGAACAACGAUUUACAUGUUUACAAUAUCCUGAGGAGAGACGAGUUGCUGCUGCUGUUUGUGCUUUCACUAGUUUUGCAUGUGUAUGGUGGUCUGAACAUUGUAGAUUAUAUCCUAUUCCAACUACUUGGGCUGCUUUGAAAACUGCUAUGCGUACUCGUUGGGUUCCACCAUAUUAUCAACGUGAAUUGCUUCAAAAAUUACAGCGUUUAAGACAAGGGAAAAAUUCUGUAGAAGAAUAUUAUCAGGAAUUACAAACUAGCAUGACUAGAUGUGGUAUUGUUGAGGAGAAUGAAGCUAUGCUUGCACGUUUUUUGGGUGGAUUAAAUAGAGAGAUUCAGACCAUUCUAGACUAUAAGGAGUAUACUAAUAUCACUCGUUUAUUCCAUCUUGCUUGUAAAGCUGAACGUGAAGUGCAGGAUCGACAAGCAUUGGGGCGAACUAACUUUUCUGCAGGCCGACCUUCAUCAUGGACACCACAUGCAUCUUCUACUUCAACUGCACCAGCACCUCCAUCCGGUGCCACCUCCAGCCGUGAUACAAGAAAACAGGCACAACCACCAUUAUCUGCCAAGAGCGCACCUGCGGGGCCUGCACAACGUUUUUCUUCUUCCAUGGCAUCAACAGGGCACACAAGUGAUAUUAUUUGUCGUCAUUGUAAGGGAGGAGGUCAUUAUGCGAGAGAAUGCAAAUCUCCGCGUGUGAUGAUUGCUACCGCGGAUGGUGGAUAUGAGUCCGCUAGUGACUAUGAUGAGGAGACUUUGGCUCUUAUUACACGUGAAGAACAUGGUGGAGAUGAUUCUGAUCAUGAGACGCAAUACAUGGCUCCUGAAGACGCUGACAGGUAUGAAUGUUUAGUUGCUCAACAUGUUUUGAGUGUGCAGGUCACACAAGCUGAGCAAAAUCAGAGGCACAAUUUGUUCCAUACCAAGGGAGUUGUGACAGAACGUUAUGUGCGCGUCAUCAUAGAUGGAGGGAGCUGCAACAACUUGGCUAGCAUGGAGAUGGUGGAGAAGCUUUCUCUCACCAUAAGACCACAUCCACAUCCUUACUACAUCCAAUGGUUCAACAACAGCGGCAAGGUUAAGGAGAUGAUGAGGACAUCAAUACAAUUGUUACACCCACAGCCCCUGCUGCUAUACAUACUGGACCAAUUACUAGAGCUCGUGCACGCCAACUAA
rnacentral:rRNA from 1 species